UCUCGGCGCUGAGGAAGUUGAGGCCAUUCUGGUUGACGGCAAGGAUGCAGGGGGCUGGCACCGAGGCGUUGCUGCAGCUCUGGACGAAGAAGAAGGAGGAGCCGAACAUGGGAUUGGGAUUAUAGCUGUACGUGCUUCCUUCGCCUUUUGCCUAAAAUUGGAACAUAAAAAGAGUUUUACGGAGACAGCGUACCUACCUACGUUAUCUCACUAUUAUUCAUACCAGGGCUUCUCAGGCUGUGGCCAAGGGCCUGGGAGGUCAAAGCCAUUUCCCUGAUAACAUUAAGAGCUAAGAUGUUACUUGGCCUUUUCCCCUCCUGUUCUCGCACAAGUGGAAUUUGCCAGAGGCCACAUGACCUGUGAGAUCCCAGCUCACCGACCGCAGAAGCACAUCUGACCAGCUGUCUUCUGUUAGGCCAGUUGGUAAAGAGAUGGGCAAAACGUAAACUCGUGCCACUCUCCGAUUUUUUAGGAAAAUACAGUUGUUUUUUAGAAGUUGUUUGUAUCGGCACAUAAUUUACAUUGCUUGAGUUAUAACUGCUUUUCACGUGAUUUUAGAACUACAGUUAUUAUACAGUUAUUUAUACUGUUUAAUACAUUAUCCUUA